rnacentral:rRNA from 1 species
GUGAAUGCCUUGGAAAAUGGAGCCGAAGAAGGACGUGAUUACCUGCGAAAAGUCUGGGGGAGCUGGAAGUAAGCUGCGAUCCCGGAAUGUCCGAAUGGGGAAACCUAACAUGAUUUAUCUCAUGUUAUCUAUAAGUGAAUACAUAGCUUAUAAGAAGGGAACCUAGGGAACUGAAACAUCUUAGUACCUAGAGGAAAAGAAAAUAAUAAUGAUUCUGUUAGUAGUGGCGAGCGAACACGGAACAGGCCAAACCGUUCUACGGGGCGGGGUUGUAGGACUUUUGUUAGAGUUACAAAGUUAUUGUAUAGUAGAAGCUAUUGGGAAGUAGCGGCAUAGAGGGUGAUACCCCCGUAUACGAAAUGCAAUAACCUCGAGAAAGUAUCCUGAGUACGGC